rnacentral:rRNA from 1 species
UACGGGGGGAGCAAGCGUUGUUCGGAUUUACUGGGCGUAAAGGGCGCGUAGGCGGCCACCGCAAGUCAGUUGUGAAAGCUCUGGGCUUAACCCAGAAAGGUCAACUGAUACUGCGGGGCUAGAGUGCAGAAGGGGCAACUGGAAUUCUCGGUGUAGCGGUGAAAUGCGUAGAUAUCGAGAGGAACACCUGCGGCGAAGGCGGGUUGCUGGGCUGACACUGACGCUGAAGUGCGAAAGCGUGGGGAGCGAACCGG